CUUAUCAAGAAGGAAAUCCGGAGGACGUUGACUCGACCAGUCUUAACCCUCCGACAGCUAGCCAGGAUAAUUGGCCUGCUAUCUGCCUCUAUACAAGCGAUCUUCCCAGGACCUCUCCACUACAGAUCCCUUCAACAGCUCAAAGCAACCCACCUACGCUUGGGUCAAUCCUAUUCAGAUUCUGUACCUCUAGACUGCGCAGUAAAAGAGGAACUGGCAUGGUGGCUUCAACACAUGGAAGCAUGGAACGGCAAGGCAAUCUUCGGAACCACUCCGGAUCUCGUCAUAGAAUCCGACGCGAGCAGACUUGGAUAGGGG